rnacentral:lncRNA from 1 species
AAGGCACAAAGCUCUUGCCAAGAGCUUUUUCGGGCUUGCCUUAAGGAAAAUGAGCUUGGAGGCAAAAAUUUUCGCUAAGUUAAACUUGGGCGCUCACAGCAUGACCAUGCCUCAUUCAAAGUGCCAUAACUUGAGCUACAGAUGUCCGAUUGAUGUGCUUCCAGUUGCGUUGGAAAGCUGACAUUUAGAGCUUUCCAACAAUAUAUGGCAAUCUAUAUUUCGUAUGAAAUUGAGGCACGAUUGAAAGGCAUCUUUAAGGACCAAAAAUGAAUCAAAGUGGCUUCACCAGGAUUCGAAGAGGGAGACCAAGGAAAGCAAG